UCUCCUAUCUGCUCCAGGGAAGGGGUCUCUGGUUGCAGGUGGACAAGGAGUCGACGAAUGACAAACAGAAGUGACACACAAGGGCUCAGAGCUACAAGUGUACAUUGAAUCUCACAGUGGAACUUACACAUAAACUUUUGAAUGAUCAUGGGAGUUUGACAACUGUGUCAAUGCUUGGAGAUGGGCCUGAAACAGGUUGAUCAAGACUUUGACCUUGCUGCCACUAAGAAGGAGACCACCUAGGGUGGAGCCG